AUUGAACGCUGGCGGCAUGCCUUACACAUGCAAGUCGAACGGCAGCACGGGUGCUUGCACCUGGUGGCGAGUGGCGAACGGGUGAGUAAUACAUCGGAACGUACCUUAUCGUGGGGGAUAACGCAGCGAAAGCUGUGCUAAUACCGCAUACGCCCUGAGGGGGAAAGCGGGGGAUCGCAAGACCUCGCCACAUUAGAGCGGCCGAUGCCCGAUUAGCUUGUUGGUGGGGUAAAAGCCCACCAAGGCGACGAUCAGGAGCUGGUCUGAGAGGACGAUCAGCCACACUGGGACUGAGACACGGCCCAGACUCCUACGGGAGGCAGCAGUGGGGAAUUUUGGACAAUGGGGGCAACCCUGAUCCAGCAAUGCCGCGUGAGUGAAGAAGGCCUUCGGGUUGUAAAGCUCUUUUGUCAGGGAAGAAACACCGGCUCUAACACAGUCCGGGAAUGACGGUACCUGAAGAAUAAGCACCGGCUAACUACGUGCCAGCCGCCGCCGUAA
rnacentral:rRNA from 1 species